rnacentral:lncRNA from 1 species
AUUUGUUAGAGUUGUACAGCUUUCCAUUAAUUCUGUUAGAGCUAAACUCUAUAUAUAUCAUUGUACACGGAUCAGAAGAGUGAAGAAAAUUCAUUUUACAAUUUCUCUUCAAUUCAUUGGCUUUAGAUUUUAUCAUGGUAUCAGAGCAAUCUGAUGUAGAGACUUGAUGUGCUGACACGUUUGCAGGUGAUUUCUUGGCCAAACAAUGUCCUGGAGGGUAUCCAUGUAGUUUAUAACACUUAUCUCUCUUAUGGCCAGUAUGCCACAGUAACUACAAACAGGUCUAUCCUUUCUUUGUCCCUGGUUGUUGCUGUUUGCAUGCUUGACAAACUGUUGUUGAUUGAGAGCACCAUGAUUGGAAAAAGCAGCAACCUCUACAUUUUGAUGCAAAGAUGUAACCUGUCUUUGCUUUUCUUCUUGAGAAACCAUGGCAAAAACACGAUUCAGUGGAGGAAUUGGACCCAUAAGAAGGAUCUGGCUUCUAACAUCAUUAUAGGAAUCAUCUAAGCCCAUCAAGAAUUGCAUAACCUCAUCAUCAGAUUGGUAGCGAUUAUAAUUCUGCGGCCUGUAGUGAGCCAAUUCUUCCCAAAGCCCUUUCAAUCUAUUAAAAUAAGAAUUGAUAGAUCCAUUGUUCUGUGAAAUUGAAGAAAUCAAUUUUUGCAGUUGAUAAAUGCGAGGACCAUUACUUUGAUUGUAUCUGUCGUGAAGCUCAAGCCAAAUUUCCCGUGCUGAGUCUUUAUGCAUGACACUAGGAUAAAGCUCUUUGAGAAUCGAAUUGAUUAUCCAUGCAGACACCACAUGGUUAUAUCUUCUCCAUGGAAUGAAAAGGAGAUCAUUGAGAUUUGGCUUAGAGAUUGUUUCGUCAAUGAAGCCUUCUUUAUUCUUGACACUCAAGGCCAUGGUUAUUGCCCAACUCCAAGUGGAGUAAUUUCAUCAGAAAGAAGAACAGAGAUGAGCUGUGUACCAGUAUUUUCGCCAUAAUGAAGAUAGUAUUGACUAUUAGGAUCGUCCAUGAUUCGGGAGUUGAUUUGUGCAGGAAUUGCAGUAGCACCAGUAGGAUUUGUCGGUGGAUUUGAUGAUCGAGAGAUGGGAAUUGAGGUACCUUCAUGAAUUGUACAAUCUAUGUGAAUCUGAGAGGUGACUUGAUGAUCAUCAGCCAUAGUUAAAAGCAGAAGCUAGAGAGAUAGCUCUAAUACCAUUUUAAAUUCUUUGAAUGAGAAAAACUUCAAUUGAACCCCAUAAAGGAGAAGAAGAAGCACUCCAUGAAAGGAAGAAAUACAACUCAUAAAGGAGGAUGAUAACACUCCAUAAAAAGGAGGAAGAGAAACUGCAUAGAAGGAGAACAUGAAACCUCCAUAGGAGGGAUUGGAAUUCCACAUUCCAAUGAAUAUUCAAUGCAUACACGUCUGUAUUUAUAAAGAAAUAUAUAGGAUAAUUAACUAACUAACUUGACUACUAACUACUAAACUAAUUUUGACAGCUGGAAGAAUAUUCUGCUUGAACUGGAAUCUGAUUUGGAAUAUUCAUCCUGAUGUGGAAGCUGUUGGAAUCUGGUGCAAUUGCAUUCCAACACACCCGCCUCAAGAUGGACUAGGAGAUCCAUCUUGAAGAUGAGAGAAAUGGAGUGAAACAUGGAUGCAUCAGCUGAUGAUUUUCCUUCAAGCAUCACUGCUAAUAUAAUUGUAGUAGAGACGCCACUACCAACAUACACAACACUUUAUGAUGACAUAAGCAUUGGAAGAGAUUUCUAAUGGAUUCCAUUCCUUCUUCAGUUGGUUGAUGGAAACUUGUCUGCAGAAGACCUUCUUAAACUGGUCAAUAUAAGCAACAUCAUUUCCAGCAACGAUGAUAUCAUCAACAUAGACCAAUAAAAUGGUAUCAGAGCACAUUGCUUCUUACUACUAUAUUUUUCUGAGAUUAAUUCAUCACGUUUUUUUGUUUUCUGAUCAAAUAAAAGCAUAUUUAUGGUUUCGUUCUGAUUUCUUCCAAUUUUGGAAAAUUCUUGAAACUGGAGCACCAGCACGUGUGAUAUGGACAACAGCCUAUCAUCAAUUAGUUUCUCAGAUCAGUUUCAAUAUUCAUUGUUACUUGCACCGAAAUUCUUAUCCUCUGUUAUAGCUUCAUCAUUCUUUGAACUCUGAUAACUCAGACGAACAACCAUCGAUCGAGGCACUAGGAGUUGCAUCUAUGAUCACGGUAUGUUCAAGGUUUUGCUUAUUCUAUUAGUCAACUCAAAGAGAACAAACGUGACAUUCAACUUGUGUGAGUUAAAUUCUGCUGGACAACUAAGAUUGCUCAACGAACAUCAUCAUCUUUCAUGCGAUUGGUUGCAUUAGACGUAUCUAGAAUUUCAUUGAUUUGAGUAUUGUAAAAUUGAAUGCUACUGUUAAAGCUGAUGUUACUGUAGAUAAAGAAGAAGAUGAGGCUUUGGAUGAUUAUGCACAAGCUUUGAUGUGCACAUAAGGUGUUUGGUAAAAUGUCCAACAAGAUCAACUGGCAGACAUGUUAACUAAAUCAGUUGGAGGACUUGGGUUUCGGACACUCCUAAGCAAGAUGAGGGUUCAUAAUAUUCACCUUCCAUCUUGAGGGGGCGUAUCACAGAGAAAUUCUUGUAUUAGUUAGUUAAUGACAUGGCAGUUAGUUAAUUAAUUAGUAACAUGGCUGCUAGUUGUUAGUUAAUAUUCUGUUAUUUGUUAGAGUUG